rnacentral:rRNA from 1 species
CUUAACACAUGCAAGUCGAACGAUGAACCUCACUUGUGGGGGGAUUAGUGGCGAACGGGUGAGUAACACGUGAGUAACCUGCCCUUGACUCUGGGAUAAGCCUGGGAAACCGGGUCUAAUACUGGAUACGACCUUCUGGCGCAUGCCAUGUUGGUGGAAAGCUUUUGUGGUUUUGGAUGGACUCGCGGCCUAUCAGCUUGUUGGUGGGGUAAUGGCCUACCAAGGCGACGACGGGUAGCCGGCCUGAGAGGGUGACCGGCCACACUGGGACUGAGACACGGCCCAGACUCCUACGGGAGGCAGCAGUGGGGAAUAUUGCACAAUGGGCGCAAGCCUGAUGCAGCGACGCCGCGUGAGGGAUGAAGGCCUUCGGGUUGUAAACCUCUUUCAGUAGGGAAGAAGCCGGCCUUUUGGGUUGGUGACGGUACCUGCAGAAGAAGCGCCGGCUAACUACGUGCCAGCAGCCGCGGUAAUACGUAGGGCGCAAGCGUUAUCCGGAAUUAUUGGGCGUAAAGAGCUCGUAGGCGGUUUGUCGCGUCUGCCGUGAAAGUCCGGGGCUUAACUCCGGAUCUGCGGUGGGUACGGGCAGACUAGAGUGCA